rnacentral:tRNA from 1 species
GGUACCGUUGCCAAGUGGUAAGGCAAGAGUCUGCAAAACUCUCAUGCGCCAGUUCAAAUCUGGCCGGUACCUCCA